GGAGGGGUGGCCGAGUGGCUGAAGGCGGCGGUUUGCUAAAUCGUUAUAGGGGGAAACUCCUAUCGAGGGUUCGAAUCCCUUCCUCUCCGCCA
rnacentral:tRNA from 1 species